UCUCUCUCUCUCUCUCUCUCUCUCUCUCUUUCUAUUUCUCUCACUUCCUGUCCGCGUCCAUUUGCUUCCGCAUUGUUUCCUUUCCUUUCCUCAUCUCCACAAUGUCUCUUGGCGCUUUGUCCGUUUUUCAUUCUCGUGCUCCCGUUCAUUCGCGUAUUCGUUCUGUCCGCCCUGUACGCAUUCUCGGCCGUUUCUCUUUCCUCUUUCUCCUUCGAUCGUUUCCUCUCACCUGGAGCAUUCCUGCUUCGCCGUUCCUGGGGAUUCUCGUUUCCUAUCAUAACCUCAAUUUGUUCGACUUCGCCGAGCCGCACUGCUCGAGCUGCGACUGCCUCAGCUACGCGCGAGAGACACAGUGGCAAGCAUGUUUCCGCAGACCAUAGUGCUUCAGUCACGGUAUUUGGCGUCGCGGCGGAGGGAACAUCGAGAUGCUGCCCACUCCGGUACUUCGUAAUUGGGAAUAGACGAAUACUUAAAAAAUGGGGAUACAUGAUUGCAUCAACCGGCUGCGUCCUCCAUCGACUCGUCGUCCCCAAAAAACGAAGACCAGUAAGAUCUGCUGGAGUUUGCAGCCACGCGAUAGCUGCGGUUAUCGAGACGCAGUUUCGAUGGACGCCAAUGCCGCACCGGAGGAUCCGGUUCGGGCCGAGCAGAGUCGGCUUGAAGGUGAGGUUCACCGAUCGUUUGUACAUUUCUUCUUGAUUCAUUGCGAUCAAAAACCGAGUGAUUGGAAUAAAAGCCGUUGAAUUACGAUGGCAAAGGGUCAACGUUUGUAUCUGCGCGCGCGCUUCCGCGAAUUGA